CCUACGGGAGGCAGCAGUGGGGAAUAUUGGACAAUGGGCGAAAGCCUGAUCCAGCCAUGCCGCGUGUGUGAAGAAGGCCUUCGGGUGGUAAAGCACUUUCAGUGGGGAAGAAAGCCUUGGGGCUAAUACCCUCGAGGAAGGACAUCACCCACAGAAGAAGCACCGGCUAACUCCGUGCCAGCAGCCGCGGUAAUACGGAGGGUGCGAGCGUUAAUCGGAAUUACUGGGCGUAAAGCGCGCGUAGGCGGUCUGAUAAGCCGGUUGUGAAAGCCCCGGGCUCAACCUGGGAACGGCAUCCGGAACUGUCAGGCUAGAGUGCAGGAGAGGAAGGUAGAAUUCCCGGUGUAGCGGUGAAAUGCGUAGAGAUCGGGAGGAAUACCAGUGGCGAAGGCGGCCUUCUGGACUGACACUGACGCUGAGGUGCGAAAGCGUGGGUAGCAAACAGGAUUAGAUACCCGAGUAGUC
rnacentral:rRNA from 1 species